UACGUAGGGGCCUAGCGUUGUCCGGAUUUAUUGGGCGUAAAGAGCUCGUAGGCGGCUCGGUUAGUCGGAUGUGAAAUCUCCACGCUCAACGUGGAGGCGCCAUCCGAUACUGCCGUGGCUUGAGUCCGGUAGGGGAGUGUGGAAUUCCCGGUGUAGCGGUGAAAUGCGCAGAUAUCGGGAGGAACACCGGUGGCGAAGGCGGUGAUCUGGGCCGACACUGACGCUGUAGAGCGAAAGCGUGGGGAGCGAACAGG
rnacentral:rRNA from 1 species